GCGGAGCGAAAUGAAGUAGUGAAGCUGCAGCCCCUUCCUGUCGAGAAAAGCCGCUAUCGUGUAGCAAGGGCCCGUACCGUAAACCGACACAGGUGGAUGAGGAGAGGAUCCUAAGGCCGGCGGGAGAAGUGUUGUUAAGGAACUCGGCAAAAUGACUCCGUAACUUCGGGAGAAGGAGUGCUGCGCAAGCAGCCGCAGAGAAAUGGCCCAAGCAACUGUUUAGCAAAAACACAGGUCUAUGCGAAACCGAAAGGUGAGGUAUAUGGGCUGACGCCUGCCCGGUGCUGGAAGGUUAAGGGGAGAGCUUAGCGCGAGCGAAGGUUUGAACUUAAGCCCCAGUAAACGGCGGCCGUAACUAUAACGGUCCUAAGGUAGCGAAAUUCCUUGUCGGGUAAGUUCCGACCCGCACGAAAGGCGUAAUGAUUUGGGCACUGUCUCAACAACACACCCGGUGAAAUUGAAAUACCAGUGAAGAUGCUGGUUACCCGCGCCAGGACGGAAAGACCCCAUGGAGCUUUACUCCAGCCUGAUACUGGGAUUCGGUAUUGCAUGUACAGGAUAGGUGGGAGGCUAAAAACUCAUGGCGCCAGCCGUGAGGGAGCCGGUGUUGGGAUACCACCCCUGCAGUACUGGGUUUCUAACCUGCGCCCGUGACCCGGGCGGGGGACAAUGUCAGGCGGGGAGUUUGAUUGGGGCGGUCGCCUCCGAAAGGGUAUCGGAGGCGCUCAAAGGUCUCCUCAGGAUGGUUGGAAACCAUCCAGAGAGUGCAAAGGCAGAAGGAGGCUUGACUGCGACACCGACGGGUGGAGCAGGUACGAAAGUAGGACUUAGUGAUCCGGUGGCAUAAAGUGGGAUUGCCAUCGCUCAACGGAUAAAAGCUACCCUGGGAUAACAGGCUUAUCACUCCCAAGAGUUCACAUCGACGGAGUGGUUUGGCACCUCGAUGUCGGCUCAUCGCAUCCUGGAGCUGGAGCAGGUUCCAAGGGUUGGGCUGUUCGCCCAUUAAAGCGGUACGCGAGCUGGGUUCAGAACGUCGUGAGACAGUUCGGUCCCUAUCCGGCGCGGGCGCAGGAUAUCUGAGAGGAGCUGUCCUUAGUACGAGAGGACCGGGAUGGACCGUCCGCUGGUGGACCGGUUGUCAUGCCAAUGGCACGGCCGGGUAGCCAAGACGGGAAGGGAUAAACGCUGAAGGCAUCUAAGCGUGAAGCCCCCCUCAAGAUGAGAUAUCCAUACUCGAAAGAGUGAGAGACCCCUUAGAGACGAUGAGGUAGAUAGGGCAGAGAUGGAAGUGCAGCGAUGCAUGGAGUUGACUGUUACUAAUCGGUCGAAAGCUAA
rnacentral:rRNA from 1 species